rnacentral:rRNA from 1 species
AUGGCGGCGGGGGCGCCGCCGCAGGGGGCGCCGACGGUGGAGGAGCAGGAGGAGGCGGCGGGGGUGGGGAUCCUGCUGCAGAUAUCGAUGCUGGUGCUGGCGUUCGUGCUCAGCCACCUCCUCCGCCGCCGCAGGGUCUACUACCUCCCCGAGGCCAGCGCGUCGCUCCUCAUCGGGUUGAUCGUGGGAGGUCUUGCUAGCGUAUCUAACGCCCAGAAAAGUACAAGGAGAUGGUUCAAUUUCCGGGAGGAGCUCUUCUUUCUGUUCUUGCUGCCUCCUAUCAUAUUCCAGUCCGGCUUCAGCUUAGCACCAAAACCAUUCUUCUCAAACUUUGGUGCUAUUAUUACUUUUGCAAUCGUUGGAACCUUAAUUGCCUCCAUUGUCACCGGUGUUUUAGUCUAUCUUGCUGGGUUAAUACAUCUUGUCUAUAGGAUGCCUCUGGUUGAGUGUAUGAUGUUUGGUGCCCUUGUGUCAGCAACUGAUCCUGUAACUGUGCUGUCGAUAUUUCAGGAACUUGGCACGGACGUGAACCUCUAUGCGCUGGUUUUCGGUGAAUCUGUGCUAAAUGAUGCUAUGGCAAUCUCCUUGUACAGGACUAUGGCAUCUCUGAGGACGAAUGCUUCUAGCCAAAACAUUUUCGUAGUUAUCUUAAGGUUUCUCGAGAACUUCUUUGGGUCAAUGUCAACAGGUGCUGGAGCUGGAUUUAUUUCUGCUCUCCUCUUCAAGUAUUCAACACUCGGUGUUGAGAACCUUUAUAACCUCGAGAGCUGCUUGUUUGUACUUUUCCCAUACUUCUCGUACAUGCUAGCUGAAGGCUUCGGUCUGUCUGGCAUAGUCUCAAUACUCUUUACUGGAAUCGUGAUGAAGAGAUACACAUUCUCGAACUUGUCAGAAGACUCCCAGCGUUUCACUGCUGCACUUUUCCAUCUGCUUUCAUCAUUAGCAGAAACUUUUGUAUUCAUAUAUAUGGGAUUUGAUAUUGCGAUGGAGCGUCAAAGCUGGUCACACAUUGGGUUCAUAUUUUUCUCAGUUAUCUUCAUAUUAGUUGCAAGGGCUGCAAAUGUUUUCUCGUGUGCUUUCUUGGUAAAUAUGGUACGGCCACCUCAGCGGCAAAUAUCCAGGCAAUAUCAACAGGCACUUUGGUAUAGUGGUCUUAGAGGGGCUAUGGCUUUUGCCCUUGCUCUUCAAUCUGUUCAUGAUCUUCCUGAUGGCCAUGGACAGACAAUUUUGAGUGCCACCAUAUCUAUUGUUGUUCUAACAGUACUUCUGAUUGGAGGCUCAACAAGCACAAUGCUUGAAGCUCUACAUGUUGUGGGAGAUGGUAAUGAUGGUCGUCGCCCUUCACUUGAGGACCAGGAGAACUAUGAGGGGAACAAUAAUGCGGGCAACAUAGAACUGGGCAAUGAAGAGGGGACUUCUACCACAAGCAAAUUCAAACUGAAACUCCAAGAAAUCCAGAAAAACACGCCCUCCUUGGCCGCAUUGGACAGAAACUACCUCACUCCAUUUUUCACAUCUCAAAAUGGCGAUAGCGAUGACGACGAACAUGGUCCUAACGGAGCGCCGCGGAGAUCUAACGAGCUGCAAGACCUGGAGAGCCAUGGAUUACCGGCUCGAGAGACGGGCUGA